CAGGGAGACAACAAAAUGUUUAAUAUUAUUAUUUUGUCACCUUAGGUCGAUCGGUAUCUCACAUUCUUAAUUUGUUAAGAAUUUCAUUUCCUAAGUUUUUCUAGGUCACACCCAUUAUUUUUCCUGGGCCAUUAGCUCAGGUGGUUAGAGCGCACCCCUGAUAAGGGGGAGGUCCCUGGUUCAAGUCCAGGAUGGCCCAUAUCUCUAUGUUGGGGGUAUAGCUCAGUUGGUAGAGCGCCUGCUUUGCAAGCAGGAUGUCAGCGGUUCGAGUCCGCUUACCUCCACUGAUUACCACCUCUUCCAUAACCGGUAGAAAGGAAAUGUUUUGAGUUGUGAUCAUUAUUCUGAACGAAUCUAGCUUCCUAAUGAAAUCAUUAAGAUGCUGGAUUCAUUGAAUUAAUUUCAUUGUUUUCAGAGAACCUUGACAACUGCAUAGAUUUUUUAAAGACAAUAAGCAUCUUUAAUGAUGCAGAUUUAUUAUUUGUGCGAAAGCAUUUAUAACAAUUCUAUUAAGCUGAUGCUUCAAUUUUUGAAGUUAUU
rnacentral:tRNA from 1 species